UACGUAGGGACCGAGCGUUGUCCGGAUUCAUUGGGCGUAAAGAGCUCGUAGGCGGCCACUCAAGUCGAAUGUGAAACCUCGAGGCUUAACCUCGAGCCUGCAUUCGAUACUGGGCGGCUAGAGUCUGGUAGGGGGAUCUGGAAUUCCUGGUGUAGCGGUGGAAUGCGCAGAUAUCAGGAGGAACACCGGUGGCGAAGGCGGCCUGCUGGGCAGUAGCUGACGCUGAUGCGCGACAGCGAUGGGGAGCAAACAGG
rnacentral:rRNA from 1 species